GUGUCAGCAGCCGCGGUAAUACGGAGGGUGCAAGCGUUAUUCGGAUUUAUUGGGCGUAAAGGGCGUGUAGGUGGUCUGAUAAGUCAGGUGUGAAAGCCCCUGGCUCAACCAGGGAAGUGCACUUGAAACUAUCAGACUUGAGUACGGGAGGGGGAAGUGGAAUUCCUGGUGUAGAGGUGAAAUUCGUAGAUAUCAGGAGGAAUACCGGUGGCGAAGGCGACUUCCUGGACCGAUACUGACACUGAGACGCGAAAGCGUGGGGAGCAAACAGGAUUAGAUACCCUCGUAGUCC
rnacentral:rRNA from 1 species